rnacentral:rRNA from 1 species
GACGAACGCUGGCGGCGUGCCUAAUACAUGCAAGUCGAGCGGACUGAUUAAGAGCUUGCUCUUAUGACGUUAGCAGCGGACGGGUGAGUAACACGUGGGCAACCUGCCCUGUAGAUCGGGAUAACACCGAGAAAUCGGUGCUAAUACCGGGUAAUAUCUGAGAUCACAUGAUCUUAGGUUAAAAGAUGGCUCCGGCUAUCACUACAGGAUGGGCCCGCGGCGCAUUAGCUAGUUGGUAAGGUAAUGGCUUACCAAGGCGACGAUGCGUAGCCGACCUGAGAGGGUGAUCGGCCACACUGGGACUGAGACACGGCCCAGACUCCUACGGGAGGCAGCAGUAGGGAAUCUUCCGCAAUGGACGAAAGUCUGACGGAGCAACGCCGCGUGAGUGAUGAAGGGUUUCGGCUCGUAAAGCUCUGUUGUUAGGGAAGAAACAGUACCGAACGAACUAGGUCGGUACCUUGACGGUACCUAACCAGAAAGCCACGGCUAACUACGUG